rnacentral:rRNA from 1 species
UACGUAGGUGGCAAGCGUUGUCCGGAAUUAUUGGGCGUAAAGGGCGCGUAGGCGGCCCGUCAAGUCCCGUGUGAAAGCCCCCCGGCUCAACCGGGGAACGGCGCGGGAAACUAGCAGGCUUGAGUUCGGGAGAGGGAAGCGGAAUUCCGGGUGUAGCGGUGAAAUGCGCAGAUAUCAGGAGGAACACCAAUGGCGAAGGCAGCACUCUGGGACGGUACUGACGCUGAGACGCGAAAGCGUGGGGAGCAAACAGG